rnacentral:lncRNA from 1 species
CUUAGACAGCCCCAGGGUGACAGUGGCCCAGCUGGACUGGGACGUAGCGAUGGUCCAUCAGCUCUCUGCCUUCCAGCCAGAUGUUGUCAUUGCAGCAGGUAAUGCCCAGCCCCGGGCAUCCUGUGCAGGCGGUGUCCUUGCAGCUCUACCCAGCUCUUGGCUCUGGGAAAAGGGAACAAUGGACCCUGUCGGGCAUGGACAUGAUGGGGCUUCCAGAAGAGUUACUCUGGGCCUCCAGGGUGACAUCAAAGGACAGGGGUGCCUCUUAAGGUGACCUUCAAGCCACAGCCCUCUUGUUGGAGACAGGCAUACUCCCGUUACAGUCGUCACCACAUGGCUGUGUCCCAGAGCCAUGCCCUGUGUCCUUCAGAGACCACAGGAGGAAAACAACCAGUUCUGGGAUGAGGACAGGGCCCUUGAGAGAAGGUGGUGUUUGGCUGGGCCACCAAAAACCCCUCACCCCUGACAGCACACUCAGUCCCCUCUCUGGUGGAACAGAGCUCUGCCUGUGGUCCUGGGUCCCAGCCCUGAAACCCACAGGUCCAGCGGUGGCCAGGGACACAGGCCCACCCCUGCAAGCCAGCAGACCAAUCGGCAGACACCUGAAACACGAAGUUCACGGCAGGGUCAGGCUUUCUGUCAUUCAAAGCCCCCUAGAUAGGCCGAGAACCAGAGCUGGUUUUUUAAGGAACACCAGUGAGUCUGGAGAUUUUUUUCUUUUGCUUCGGUCUUUUGCAGCUUUCUCUACUAAGGGUUCUCCUUUUUCACCCAAGUAAUUGCCUUUCCAUCUAAUGGCCCAAAUGGUCAAGUGGCAUCUAAUAGUCUCAUAGGACCGCUGCCUCUCUGGCCUCGCCCUGCUGCUGAGGUCAGCAUGAACUGGAACUUUCCACUUGUCCCUUUCAGUAACCUGAAGCUUUCACCGUAGACUUGCUGUAUUGCCCAGAAGCCAUCGUGUCACUGGUCGGGGUUCUGUGGAGGCUGGCUGCCUGCCAAGAGCACAAGCGGGCUCCUGAGGUCUACAUGGCCUUUACCGUCCGCAACCCAGAGACGUGCCAGCUGUUCACCACGGAGCUAGGCUGGGCUGGGAUCAGAUGGGAAGCGGAAGCUCAUCAUGACCAGAAACUGUUUCCCUACGGAGAGCACUUGGAGAUGGCAAUGCUGAACCUCACACUGUAGGACUCACACACGACUCCAACGGGAUUGUGAGAAUCAAGUCACUCUCGUGGGAAGAAUUUUUAUAUGAGAAAGGGGAUAAAACUUUCAUUGGACUGGAAUGUUUGGAGAAUGUUAAAUUCCAAAUCAGGAACCACAAACUGCCCUCUAAUAAGACAUCGGCUAUCUAAGCGUGUGGGUGCCCCCUUUCUGCCAGCAGUUCUGGUUCUUAAGAAAAUCACCAUAAAUCAGACAUGAAAAUUCUGGCUCCAAAAAUAGCAUUUUCUUUGUGCAAAUAAAAACGUGUGUAUCAACUAUGACGUUCCCCCACGUGGACACACUCGGUUCCUCAUAAAACCAAGCCUGCUGCAGCUGCCACAUCCCUGGACACAUUCGAUUCCUCACAAAGCCAAGCCCGCUGCAGUUGCCACAUCCCCGGACACACUCGGUUCCUCACAAAUCUAAGCCCGCUGCAGCUGCCACAUCCCUGGGCUUAUGGUGCAGCAGGUGCUUUUUUCAAGACAGGAAUCAAAGUGUUAGGAACAUGGAAGAAAGGUGACACCUGGAGACCAAAUGCAGGAUUGGGAGUACUGUAGAGGUCACAGGGAAGUCACAGAACAGUAAUAUGCUAGCAGGGGCAUGGGGCGUGAAGAACAGAAGACAGGAAGCGUUUCGGAGACUCCAAAGAAGAAAUCAGGGCCAACCACAGCUUCCCGGGUCAUUCACCAGGUGGCACCACUGCCGUCAUUUCAGCUUCUGGCCACUGGGAGGCGCUGCUCAAAAGGAUUUGCCCUGAGACUCCAAGAAGAAGCUGUGGGAAGGACAGCAGGGGCCCUGGGGUUUUAGCCUCUGGCCCAGGAGUUAUGUGUCCAUAACCAAAGGGAGCACAGUCUGCACCCAGCUCUCAUCCCAUCAGAGCUGCUGAGACUCCCGCAGGUUCUUCCAGAACUGGUUUAGCUUGCCUGCAGGAUCAGGAAAGUUUGAGAAAGGCAUCUGCAAAAUACUAAAGAGCAGAGCUUACCUCAUUGCCUGUCCCCACCCCAUCCCAGGUCACCACCUGGAUGACCCCAGCUCCCCGACCCAACAACAACCCCUCCCAAGUCCCUAACUCCCUCACUUGGACUUGAGACCCUUCACACCCCAGCAGCGCUCUGCCUCCAACUUGACAUCAUGCUUUCUGGAAACUUCCCCGUAUGUCCCACUUUCCCACACUUGGUGCGCUGGAGCACCUUCCGGCCUCCACAUGCUGUACGUUCCCCUGUGAGCACCGUCCUCUCAGCCUCUGGCCAACACAGUCCCACCCAUCUGUGGGUAACAAGGGGGUGUGGGUGUUCUUUACAGCCUUGCUAAACUGUCUGAAUCAAGGAUCACAAACUACAGCCUGCAGGCCAAACCCAGCCCACAGCCUGUGUUUGUAAAUAAAGCUUUGUUGGAACAAAGCCACACCCCUUAUUCUACAGAUGCUGUGGCUACUUUCGCACCACAACAGAGUACCAUGGUUCUGACAGAGACUGGGGGACCCAGUCUAAAUGACUUCUGACCUGGACCUUUACUGAAAAUCCUCCCAAUCAUUCUGUUGACAAGAAUGAUGUAUUACUUUUUGCAAUAAGAAACAAGUAACCUUUGCAGAAUUCCACCCAUCUUUCAAGGCUUGUCCCAGAAGUUCCCUUUGCCCACGCACCUACCUGAUCCUGACCACUUCCUAAACUGCAGCCCGGCCCACCCGGCUCC